rnacentral:rRNA from 1 species
CAUGCGAGUCGAACGGACCCUUCGGGGUUAGGGUCGGACGGGUGAGUAACACGAGGGAACGUGCCUUUAGGUUCGGAAUGCCUCCUGGAAACGGGUGGUAAUGGCAAAUGUGCCCUUCGGGGGAAAGAUUUUUCGCCUUUAGAGCGGCCCGCGUCUGAUUAGCUAGUUGGUGAGGUAACUGGCUCACCACCCGCUACGAUCCAGUAUGCUGGUCGGGAGAAGGAUGACCAGCCAUCAUUCGGAAAUGAGACACCGACCAGACUCCUACUCAUNNGGACGCACGCAGUGAGGGAAUGCUUGCGCAAUCGGUACGAAAGCCUGACGUCAGCCAUGACCGCAAGUGGAUGAUUGAAGGAUCUUAGGCACUCGAAAAAUCCUUUCCACCGAGUGAAGACUAAUGGCUAGUAGCCGGGAGAAAAAGCCCCGGCAUAACGUAGAGCGCAGCAGCCCGAGGAUAAUACCAAUGGGGGCUAAAGCGUCGCUGCGGAAUUACUGGGCGUAUAUAGGGAGCGUAAGCGCACAUCUAAGUCAGGGGGGAAAUCACCCAGAGCUCAACUCUGGAACUGCAGUAGAUACUGGAUGUCUUGAGUGUGAGAGAGGAUAUAUGGAACUACGAUGUGUAGAGGUGAAAGUCGUAGAUAUGCGGAAGAACUCCAGUGGCGAAGGCGACAUACUGGCUCAUUACUGAGCGCUGAGGCUCGAAAGCCUGGGGAGCACACAGGAUUAGAUACCAGGGUAGUCCACGCCGUAAACGAUGACUGCUAGUUGUCGAAGAAGCUUCCUUAUGCACUCACGCACCUAGACGCAUUAAGCAAUCCGCCUGGGGAGUACGGUCGCAAGAUUAAAACUCCAACGGAAUUGACGGGGGCCCGCACAUAGCGGUGGAGCAUGUGGGUCUAAUUCGAAGCAACGCGAAAUACCUUACCACCUUUUGAACAUGCCCGGACCGCCCACAGAAAAGUGGCUUUCCCUUCAGGGACUGGGACACACGUGCUGCAGGGACUGUCUCCUCAGCAUGUCGUGCAGAGAUGUUGGGUUAACUCCCGCAACGAGAGCAACCCUCGCCACUAGUUACCAUCAUUCACUUGGGCACUCUAAUGGGACUACUNCCGCGGUAAGCCCGAGGAAGGUGAGCAUGACGUCAAGUCCUCAUGUGCCCUUACAGGAUGGGCCAGCACACGUGACUACCAAUGGCGACUAGCAUGAAGGAGUGUAAUCCUUAAAAGUCGUCUCAGUUCGGAUUGUCCUCUGCAACUCGAGGGCAUGAAGUUGGAAUCGCUAGUAAUCGCGGAUCAGCAUGCCGCGGUGAAUACGUUCCCGGGCCUUGUACACACCGCCCGUCACACCAUGGGAGUUGGUUCCACCCGAAGGUGGUGCGCGUAACCCGCAAGGAGGCCACCAACCA